rfam:Hordeum vulgare subsp. vulgare, WGS project CAJW01000000 data, contig: morex_contig_274725
UUUCUGUGUAAACCAAUAUCGUUUCUCAAAACAUUUGCAGUUGCCGCCUAAGUGCUUUCUCCCUGUCAGGCUUGAGAUUUAAUGCUGCUAAUUCCUUUCUUGGAUGUCUGAGGCA